AGGUACUACAUGAUAUUGCCUCAGGAGCAGGCUGAUGUGUCUGUGGAUUACAUCACUCUUGAAAGAAGCACAUCCUCCUUUCUGGGCUUGAUUUCACUCUAAUAGUGACUGUUGGCAGAAGACUGUUGAAAGGGGAGCCAAUAUGGAGUCACAUUUUUUCCCACUCUUCAGCUUCUGCUGAAAAAAAUUUGUAUUGAAUUGUGGCUUAACUUGGAAGCAAUAGGAAAUAUUUCUCUGAGUACAAAAAUAAAGGUUGGAAAACUGGCUGAUGGAGAAAGAUGUGAAAGUCAGAUAGAAAAAUCUGACAAGCAAGGGUAAGUGAAACAAAAGUGUGUAGUACAAAGUCUAAUUAGGAACUAAUAUGAUUUUUCUUUUAUAAGCUGGGAAGUUAUAAUUGAAAGUGUCAGAGGAAGAGAGACAUCUGGCUUUAUUAGUCUCAGGGUGACUAAAGCCAUAAAUGUGACAUGGCAAUGAAAAAAGACAAGUGUAAAGACAUAUCAGGAUGUAUUACAGCAUUUUUAGAAGUGGAAAGAAAAUAUUAAAGGCAAUGUAUAUAGUACUGGUGGGAUUUCAUCUGAAAUUCUGUUUGUAGUUUUGGUCACUUGUGAUCAAAACAUGAAUUCUAAGAGUAAGAAGUUUGAGAUGGGUAGCUAAAGCUGAGGAAAUAGAAACUGUCUUAUACAGGUAUUAUUAAAAAUUCUCAUUAUUUGUUUCAGAAUAAAGAAAGGCACUGACAGAGUGAGAAUGUCUGAUUAAGUUGUAGAACAAUGUUAGCCAAAGAACAAAUGUGUAUACACUGGCAACGAUGGUUUAUUUGGUAGAAAUGAAAGACAGUAACUAUCUGGGAGUGAGAUUCUAGAUUAGAAGUAAAUUUGCUGGCUUGGUUCUUUGUCCUAGUCUAUGAAACAACUUGAUCUUUUUGUCACAUGGAAUAUAUAAAAUACAUAAUUCUAAAAGAUGGAAAUUAGACAGAAAUCAAAAGGUUCUUUCUUUCUAAAUUAAAGAUUUUUAAUCUUUCCCCCACCCUGUACUAGAAAUGCUAGAGGGUAGAGAUAAAGAGGGAGGAACUGCGAAUAUGCCUCCUUCAUAGGGAAAAGAAAUUAGAAAUAAUCUCCUAAUUAUUAUCCCUAGACACAAAGGACAGAUUUUCUGAGUGAAAGUUGUAUAUUGCAGUAAUUCCACCCUUAAGCCUUCAAAGCACAAAAAGUCAGGCUGUACGAGGAUAUCUAUAAUGAGAAAUGUAGGACUGCAAACAAAUAAAAAGAUUCAGUUUGUUCAGUUGUUUAUAGCAUCUAU